CACGCACACCCCGUCCCCCGGCACCCACCACCGCUUACACAUCGCCGUCCUCCUUCCCCAAUACCACGCCACUCCCACAGAAAUCCUCACCCAAAAUCUCGCCUCCCAGAUCGAUCGCCACCCUUAUCGCCGUGCGUAAACCCUAGCGGGCACGGCAGCCGCGACUCCCGCGAUUCACCACCAGCGGCGGCCUCGCUCCCCUCGACCGAUGGCGGCGCUGCCCUUCUCCACUUGAGGACGAUGGCCCUGCUCCCAUGGAGGCAUGCCCUCCGCCGGCCACUGCUGCCUAGUCACGGUCGCGGCCAGACCGAGGGAUGGUGAGAAGCAGCGGGUUGGGCUGAUCCAACGCGGUCGGCCUGGAUCCGGCUUGUGGAGGGCGAGAGAUGAGGACUGCUGAGUUAUUCGAUCUCGGUUGAUCAUCUUGCCGCCGCCGGAGCCAUUCUCCAGGGGAAGGUCGUUGACUGCCCCCCAUGCUCCCCGACUCCUCCGCAUACAGCUGCAAUUGUACCUCCUAUCAUUGAUCCUGAAUUCUCCGGGCAGCCAGCAGAGUUAUUCGAUCUCCGUCCUCACAGCCUGUUAGUAUAAAUAAAAGGAAGCAGUGAGGGCUUGGUACAUCUACAGCCCUCGUUGGAUCACAAGGGGCCACAAAUUUUGAUUGCGAGGGUACAUAUAUUGUAUUCAAUGCUGCUGACACACUGUUCUUCAGCGAUCUCAGUUCUCAGGAGAAGGAUCCACUGAAGUCCAUCCAUUUCAGCAACUCAAGAACCCACUGCACCAUGCAUUCGACCCAGAGGCCAAAGAGUGGCAUGACCUCAUCAUUGGGAUGGGAUCAGGGGAUGUCUAUUCAAUGUCGCUGAGGCAACAGUUACAAGAUCCUCGAAGAAAACCCAUGGCAGCUCUACAUUACAAUAAGGGUGAUAAAGAUGUAUCGCCCAAUGGAAGAACAAGGAUGGGAACACAGACUGUACAUUUUCAGCUGUGAAGGAUCAUCCCGCUGUGAAUGAUCAAUCCCUAUUUAUGGUUGCACAUGCAAAGUCAAGUAAGGAACUAAACAAGACCUCACUCAUAACUCUCUCUCUAAGCAGAAAGGAGAAAGGAAAGAGCCAAAACAAAGGUAGAGAUGCAUCCAAUGCGUUGCCCGCUCACCCCUGUUCCCUGAUGCCUUGAGGUGACCAGCCAAAGCCACUAAACACCAAUGCAUGCAAAUGUAGGAGUAGCUAAAGCCUGAGUUGUCAUUCAUGCAUGGCUUGCACACUAUUCCAAGUUUUGGCAUUCACUUGUUGAAAGCAGCCAUGUAAUCAAAGGUGCUCUCUGCAAAAUGUAAGGAUCGACACCAAAUGUAUCCAUCAACAAGUGACCUAUCUGCUUCCUUCUCUCGACUUUAUUCCUCAUUGGACAUCUCCGACGACGACGAACAUUGCUGGGAACUUGACUGUAGCUGCAACUUCUGAUCAUCCUUGCAUCCAUGUGGAAGCCGAACAGAGACCGCACACACAUUGCUUCCUAACCUUGUAUAUAAUAUUUCUACUCAACGCUCUGUUAUGCUUUUGGAUACUACAUCUGACAGAGCAUACAAUGGACAUCAUACUAAUCUUGUAUAAUAUCAACACGCACCACUCUAAUGUUUUUUUAUAUGCGCAGCUCAAAUCUGCCAUCCGACAAACUUGCUAGGCAAGUAAUAUUAUGUAAAUAUAGCUAUGCUUUCUAAAUGGUACUUCAAUCUAUAAGCACCAUCAUGCUUGCCACUA